rnacentral:rRNA from 1 species
UACAGAGGGGGCAAGCGUUGUUCGGAAUUACUGGGCGUAAAGGGCGCGUAGGCGGCCUGUUAAGUCGAACGUGAAAUCCCCGGGCUCAACCUGGGAACUGCGUUUGUGACUGUAUGACUAGAGUACGGUAGAGAGGGGUGGAAUUCCUGGUGUAGCAGUGAAAUGCGUAGAUAUCAGGAGGAACAUCGAUGGCGAAGGCAGCCCCUUGGACCUGUACUGACGCUCAUGCACGAAAGCGUGGGGGAGCAAACAGG